UACGGAGAGUGCAAGCAUUAAUCGGAAUUAUUGGGCGUAAAGGGCGCGUAGGCGGAUGGGAAAGUCAGAUGUGAAAUUCUGGAGCUCAACUCCAGAGCUGCAUUUGAAACUGUCUAUCUCGAGGGUUGACGGAGAAAACGGAAUUCCACGUGUAGCGGUGAAAUGCGUAGAUAUGUGGAAGAACACCUGUGGCGAAAGCGGUUUUCUAGUUAAUACCUGACGCUGAGGCGCGAGAGCAAGGGGAUCAAACAGG
rnacentral:rRNA from 1 species